AACGAUGAGCCAGCAGAGGGCAGGAGAGCUCAGUUUAACAGCAGCGCGGAGCUCUGGCUGGUUGAAGGAGCUCGCUAGCCCAGCGGUGAGAGCAGUCCUAGGUGCCCGUGUGUUUCUACACGUCACCUCGGCAGAUCAUCACCUCACAUGGGCCAGCCAGGCAUCUCUGAGUCAGAGGUGA
rnacentral:lncRNA from 1 species